GAUGUACUCCCUCCGUUCCAUAAUUAUUGUCUUAAAUUUGCCUAAAAAUGUAUGUAUCUAUUCUCAAAAAAUUUGUUUAGAUACAUGUAAUAUUUUGACAAGAAUUAUGGAACGGAGCUAGUACAUU
rnacentral:pre_miRNA from 1 species